UCUGGUUGAUCCUGCCUGAACUGAUGUGUUCAUUUCAAAGAUUAAGCCAUGCAUGUAUAAGUUUAAUCGUUUUAACGAGAAACCGCGAACGGCUCAUUACAAUGGCCAUGAUUUACUUGAUCUUGAUUAUCUAAAUGGAUAACUGUGGAAAAGCUAGAGCUAAUACAUGCACCAAAGCUUUGUCCUCUCGGAAAAGCGCAUUUAUUAGAACAAAACCACGCGGCUUCGGCUGCUUCUUGUUGACUCAGAAUAACUAAGCUGACCGCAUGGCCUUGUGCCGGCGGCGUGUCUUUCAAGCGUCCACUUUAUCAACUUGACGGGAGCAUAAUCGACUCCCGUGGUGGUGACGGAUAACGGAGGAUCAGGGUUCGACUCCGGAGAAGGGCCUGAGAAAUGGCCACUACGUCUAAGGAUGGCAGCAGGCGCGCAAAUUACCCACUCUCGGCUCGAGGAGGUAGUGACGAGAAAUAACGAGACCGUUCUCUUUGAGGCCGGUCAUCGGAAUGGGUACAAUUUAAACCCUUUAACGAGUAUCAAGCAGAGGGCAAGUCUGGUGCCAGCAGCCGCGGUAAUUCCAGCUCUGCUAAUACAUAGAAUUAUUGCUGCGGUUAAAAAGCUCGUAGUUGGAUUCGUAUCGGUACCCUGGAACCCUCCGGGUGUUUCUGGGUGUUAUCGAUUUAUCGUAAUGUUCGGUUUUGAGUCCUUAACAGGAUUCUUAACAGGCAUUGCAAGUUUACUUUGAACAAAUCAGAGUGCUUCAAACAGGCGUUUUCGCUUGAAUGAUCGUGCAUGGAAUAAUAGAAAACGAUUUCGGUUCAGUUUUAUUGGUUUUACGGACUGAGAUAAUGGUUAACAGAGACAAACGGGGGCAUUUGUAUGGCCCCGUGAGAGGUGAAAUUCUUGGACCGUGGCCAGACAAACUACAGCGAAAGCAUUUGCCAGGAAUGUCUUCAUUAAUCAAGAACGAAAGUCAGAGGUUCGAAGGCGAUCAGAUACCGCCCUAGUUCUGACCGUAAACGAUGCCAACUAGCGAUCCGCCGAUGGAAAUUAUAUUGCCUUGGUGGGGAGCUUCCCGGAAACGAAAGUCUUCCGGUUCCGGGGAAGUAUGGUUGCAAAGCUGAAACUUAAAGGAAUUGACGGAAGGGCACCACCAGGAGUGGAGCCUGCGGCUUAAUUUGACUCAACACGGGGAAACUCACCCGGCCCGGACACUGUGAGGAUUGACAGAUUGAUAGCUUUUUCAUGAUUCAGUGGAUGGUGGUGCAUGGCCACCAUCGGUGGCCAUGGAAGGUGGCCAUGGAAGUCGGAAUCCGCUAAGGAGUGUGUAACAACUCACCUGCCGAAUCAACUAGCCCUGAAAAUGGAUGGCGCUGGAGCGGGCCACCUAUACUCUGCCGUCAUAUGCUUGUAUUCCGUGAAGAGUCUGGCAAUGACGUGUAAGAGGGUCGUAGUGGAAGACUGAAGUGAAGACUGAAGUGGAGAAGGGUUCCACGUGAACAGCAGUUGAAUGUGGGUCAGUCGAUCCUAAGGCACCGGCUAAAGCCGUCUAGACACUGCGGGGAGAUGAGGUACUUAACGGUAUUUUGUCCACCCGGUUGCCGAAAGGGAAGUGGGUUAAUAUUCCCACACCAGGCAUGGGAGAUGGUGAUCCGCAAGGAUUACUUUGCGCGGUGACGCAAACGAACUCGUAGACCUCGUGUGGAGUCCGGGCCAGAGUUCUCUUUUCUGGUUUAGAGAUCAUGUCCCUG
rnacentral:rRNA from 1 species